rnacentral:rRNA from 1 species
UACGAGGGGGGCAAGCGUUGUUCGGAAUUACUGGGCGUAAAGCGUGCGCAGGCGGCUUCGCAAGUCAGGCGUGAAAUCCCCGGGCUUAACCUGGGAAUGGCGUCUGAAACUACGGAGCUGGAGUGUGGCAGAGGGAGGUAGAAUUCCACGUGUAGCGGUGAAAUGCGUAGAUAUGUGGAGGAAUACCGAUGGCGAAGGCGGCCACCUGGGCCGGAACUGACGCUGAGGCGCGAAAGCGUGGGGAGCAAACGGG